GACGAACGCUGGCGGCGUGCUUAACACAUGCAAGUCGAACGGAAAGGCCCUUUCGGAGGUACUCGAGUGGCGAACGGGUGAGUAACACGUGGGUGAUCUGCCCUGCACUCUGGGAUAAGCCUGGGAAACUGGGUCUAAUACCGGAUAGGACCGCACUUUAGUGUGUGUGGUGGAAAGUUUUUUCGGUGUAGGAUGAGCCCGCGGCCUAUCAGCUUGUUGGUGGGGUAAUGGCCUACCAAGGCGGCGACGGGUAGCCGGACUGAGAGGUUGGUCGGCCACAGUGGGACUGAGAUACGGCCCAGACUCCUACGGGAGGCAGCAGUGGGGAAUAUUGCACAAUGGGCGCAAGCCUGAUGCAGCGACGCCGCGUGGGGGAUGACGGCCUUCGGGUUGUAAACUCCUUUCGCCAGGGACGAAGCGUUUUGUGACGGUACCUGGAGAAGAAGCACCGGCUAACUACGUG
rnacentral:rRNA from 1 species